CUGUAUGCUGUUUGUGUCUCAGAAAAUCUGCAAAACCUGCUGGUGACCAGUCCUCUGGGGCACUUGAAGACCACAGAGAUGUUCACUAUGGGCUCUUAGGACAAUGGGGAAAAUUAUGUUUCACUGCGGUCUAUGGGAGAUUUUGGAAACUUGGACUCUGAUAGAGGGUUUGAAGGAGACAAUCAAUUAUUGUGUGAUAUUAGACACCAUGGUGAUAUAAUGGAUUGACAGUUGUCUGACCAGGAAAGAAUUGUAGCUGCUUCAUCAACAGGAUGUGUAUCAGUUUUCCUUCAUCAUCCGAAUAACCAGACUCUUUCAGUCAACCAGCUGUGAACUACAGCUCACUACCACAUAGGCCCAGAAAGUCCUUCGUGUAGCAGGGCACCAUGUACAGGUGUUGUGUGCAACAGCCCAGAAAUCAUUAAUGUUGGAGAUGAUGGUUGAAUAAAUCUCUUCAAAGCUUAUCACAAGGAAGCUGUAAGAACUGUAGGCAAUGCAGAUAGUAGUAUACUCCAUGCUGUAAUCUUUCUUCGAACUCCUGAGAGAUUCUUACUGUAAAUUCGAUUGGACAGUUAAAAACGUGGGAUUUCACACAACAAGGAAAUGAGCCUUCUCAGAUAUUGUCAUGACUGGUGACUGAGUGCCAGUCCAUUGUGUUGAUAGAAAUCUCAUCAAACAGCAUGUUAUAGCUACUGGUGGCCAGGAUGGAAUGUUGAGUAUUUGGAAUGUUAGACAAGGUACUAUGCCUGUAUCUCUGCUGAAGGCUUACAGAGCUAAAAUGUAGGAAGUUCACUUUCACCUAUCCAACCCAGAUCCUCCAUUUAUUGUUCUGAAGAUGAAUUCCUCUGGCACUGGGAUGUUUCCACAGAUGUACCAUCACUCUUUCAACAAGGAGGAAGAGCUAGAACUUUUUUGUCCCAUAGCAUUAGUAACCAAGCUAAUGUUCACCAGUCUCUCAAAGUUCUUGGCUCAGCACUGAUCCUACAAAAGACCAAAUUGAAAUCACAAGGUUACUUCUCAACCCUGUCUGUGAACCGUUUGGAUGUUUUUGGUCCUUGUCUUAUUUGUGGAACUGAUGCAGAAGCAAUUUAUACUACUGGACAACUUUUUUCAG
rnacentral:lncRNA from 1 species